rnacentral:tRNA from 1 species
GCAGUGGUGGUUCAGUGGUAGAAUUCUCACCUUCCAUAUCAGAGACCUGAGUCUGAUUCCUAGCCAGUGCA